UGUGACUGAGGAGCUUCCUUGAUUGGCUGC
rnacentral:piRNA from 1 species